GUCUAAGGGCAUACCACCCUGAAUGCACCCGAUCUCAUCUGAUCUCGGAAGUUAAGCAGGGUUGGGCCUGGUUAGCGGAAACCCUUACGGAUUGGUAGUUAAGAGC
rfam:Loxodonta africana unplaced genomic scaffold scaffold_46, whole genome shotgun sequence.